GUCCACGCCUUAAACUAUGAAUACUAAGUGUCGGCGGUUUACCGCCGGUGCCGCAGCUAACGCAUUAAGUAUUCCGCCUGGGAAGUACGGCCGCAAGGUUGAAACUCAAAGGAAUUGACGGGGGCCCGCACAAGCGGUGUAGCAUGUGGUUUAAUUCGACGCAACGCGAAGAACCUUACCCAGGCUGGACAUGCAGGUAGUAGAAUGGUGAAAGCCCAACGAGGUAGCAAUACCAUCCUGCUCAGGUGCUGCAUGGCUGUCGU
rnacentral:rRNA from 1 species